CUCCGAAUACCGUUGACGUGUAUUCCGGCAGUGAGUCGGCGGGGGAUAAGCUCCGUCGUCGAGAGGGAGACAGCCCAGACCGUCGUCUAAGGUCCCGAAGCGUGUGCUAAGUGGGAAAGGAUGUGGAGUCGCAUAGACAGCCAGGAGGUUGGCUCAGAAGCAGCCAUCCUUGAAAGAGUGCGUAACAGCUCACUGGUCUAGUGGUUCCGCGCCGACAAUGUAGCGGGGCUCAAGCACACCACCGAAGACGCGGCAGCAAUCUUCAUGGUUGCUGGGUAGGAGAGCGUCCUGCGAGGGGCGAAGCGGCGGUGGAAACCGGCCGUGGACUUCGUGGGAGUGAGAAUGCAGACAUGAGUAGCGAGAGACGGGUGAGGAUCCCGUCCGCUGGAUGACCAAGGGUUCCGGGGCCACGUUCGUCGUCCCCGGGUGAGUCGGGUCCUAAGGCGAGGCCGACAGGCGUAGUCGAAUGGAUGAACGGGUGGAUAUUCCCGUACCGACCAUGGACCGGCAAAACCGAGACGGUGAGUACUAACCUCCGCCUCGUGGUGGUUCCUUCCUUCGGGUUGGUGUCGCCGCGUGGUGUUGGGACUGUAGCCGUAGUAGGUCAGCGCAGGGGUGACACGGAAUGGGAGCCGGCCGCGGAGGUGGUUUUCCGUGGUCAAGCACGCAGCCAGUCAUGUAGGCAAAUCCGCAUGGCGCGCAUGGCGAGGUGUGAUGAUGGGAGCCGUUAUGGCUCGAUAUCCGGUUGUCCAGGCCGUCGAGAAAAGCCUCGGCGUGAGGGCCAUGGCCGCCCGUACCCCAAACCGACACUGGUGGUCAGGUAGAGAAUACCAAGGCGAUCGAGCGAAUCCUGGUCAAGGAACUCGGCAAAUCACUCCCGUGCCUUCGGUAUAAGGGAGACCCGCUGGGGUGAACCGGCUAGCCCGGGGAGCUUUGGUGGGUGGCACAGACCAGGGGGUAGCGACUGUUUACCAAAAACACAGGUGCAUGCGAAGGCGAAAGCCGCUGUAUAUGCACUGACGCCUGCCCGGUGCCGGAAGGUUAAGAGGAUCCGUCAAUCCCUUCGGGGACGAAGCGGUGAAUUCAAGCCCCGGUAAACGGCGGUGGUAACUAUAACCAUCCUAAGGUAGCGAAAUUCCUUGUCGGGUAAGUUCCGACCUGCACGAAUGGCGUAACGACUUCCCCACUGUCUCGACCAGGAGCUCGGCGAAAUUGCAGUACGAGUAAAGAUGCUCGUUAAGCGCAGAAGGACGAAAAGACCCCGGGACCUUUACUAUACCUUGGUAUUGGCGUUAGGCGCGGAUUGUGUAGCAUAGGCGGGAGGCUUCGAAGCGUGGGCGCCAGCUCAUGUGGAGCCGCAAGGUGAAAUACCGCUCUGUUCUCGUUUGACGUCUAACCUCGACAAGUCAUCCUUGUCAGGGACAGUGCCUGGCGGGUAGUUCAACUGGGGCGGUUGCCUCCCAAAGAGUAACGGAGGCGCUCAAAGGUCCGCUCAGCCCGGUUGGCAAUCGGGUGUCGAGUGUAAUCGCACAAGCGGGCUUGACUGCGAGGACGACGGUCCGAGCAGGGACGAAAGUCGGAGAUAGUGAUCCGGUGCCGGCGCACGGGCGCGGCAUCGCUCAACGGAUAAAAGGUACCCCGGGGAUAACAGGCUGAUCAUUCCCAAGAGUCCAUAUCGACGGGAUGGUUUGGCACCUCGAUGUCGGCUCGUCGCAUCCUGGGGCUGGAGCAGGUCCCAAGGGUUCGGCUGUUCGCCGAUUAAAGCGGCACGCGAGCUGGGUUCAGAACGUCGUGAGACAGUUUGGUCUCUAUCCUCUGCGCUCGUUGGAAUCCUGAGGAGGCCUGCCCAUAGUACGAGAGGACCUGGGUGGACGGACCUCUGGUAUGCCGGUUGUCGCGCCAGCGGCAUGGCCGGUUGGCUACGUUCGGGAGGGAUAACCGCUGAAAGCAUCUAAGCGGGAAGCCUGCUCCAAGAUUAGGAUUCCUUGACGCUCCCCGGAGCGUUUGUAGCCCGCAUGUUGAACACGUGUUCGAUAGGCCGGAGGUGGAAGCCCCGCGAGGGGUGGAGCCGACCGGUACUAACGGGCGAACGCGGCACAC
rnacentral:rRNA from 1 species